UGACACUUUAGUAAAAACACAUUCUCACCUUAUCUUCUCACAUUUCCAGCACACCACACAUUCCCUCACUAUCAUUUACACGUGAGCCACUCCUCUAGAACUUUCUCCCCUUUCUUUCUAUCACACAAUCUCUCUCCCUCCCUUUCUUUCUUUUCCUUUCCCUCUUCCUUUCUUCCUCACUGCAUUCUGUCAAGAUUGAGGGAGAGAGCGAGAUGAGAGAGACACCGAGAGAGAGAACGACGGACUGAAAGGGAGAGCCCGAAAAGAAGAAGAAGAAGAAGAGAAGGAGAAACGGAUUUUCGGCUAUGGGUCUUUAUAAGAUGAUGUUUCUUUGGCUGCAGGUACUCCGGUUGUAGUUGUUGGUGUUGUAGAAGUGUACUUGAGAUAUUAUGACCGAAACUCGCCGCAACGAUUGUAAUUGCGGGACCAUAGGCGUCCUCUGUUUUAUGGGUAAUGUUAUGGCUUGUGACGUCUGUGUCACUUGUUAUUGUAUAGUCAUUUAUGUUAUGUAUUUAACUUGAGGAAAGACUUAAACAGAUAGAUGUAAUAUUGGCUCUUGAUUAUGAUUAAUUUAUGAUAGAUGUUUAAGAUGUGAUUUCCGCCA